CGCCAAUUCAUCAGAUCGUCUAGCGAGCAGUCUGUUAUCUCUGGGAGUGACAAGGUUCCGGGCCACCACCGCAGCGGUCAUGUCAUUUUUCAUCACCAAAUCCCCAACGGUAAGAGGACCGGUAGGGGAUAUGAAAGAUGGGCGCCAUAUGUUGUCUGGUGAAUGCAGGGCUGCCUCUUCACCACGGUUCAAGUCAAAACGACGAUCGGAAGGGCCAGACAUUUUCUGAAGGUGUUGAGAAAGAAGAGAUCGGACAGAUUAAGAUUAAACAAGUGCAAGAAGGGAGUGUUUACAGGAGGGAGCUCAAGUGUGUUGUGGAACAAAAUUAGCGCCUCUAUAAAAAGAAGAAAUCAAAGAGGCGCUCCUCAGAAAUUGAAGAGGCGUCCUCUCGCAAAUCGAAGAGUCGGGGCUCCGUUCUCAAAAGCCGGAUUCUUUUCUCAAAAGAGGCGUUUCAUUUCUUAAAGGCUGGGCUUGCUCAGAAACCACGAGCUGAACCCCGGAUUUCAAAAGAUCAAUUUGUCCAGACGUGUCGUCACUUGUCACACGCAAAUUGCUUUGCGAAACUCUCGGGCAGUUUGUCGAAGCACCAAUUCAGAAAUCGAAGAGGGAAAUUCAACAGUCAAAGACACGCUAGCU
rnacentral:lncRNA from 1 species